CAGCACGAUGUGUCUCUUGCGCAGUCAAUUCAAUUUCCAUAAGGUGAAUACAGAAAGGAACUACAAGCAUUGGAAAUGAAUGGGGGAGUUUAAUUCAGCCGCGUUUCACUCCCACUGAGGAGGCAUACAGAUGGCUGCACAGAACUCAGCAAAAACAGAGCCAGGAGUCAGGGAGAGGGAGACUUCAACUGGGGUUUCGAGUGGAGUUGCUCAUUUAUUUCCCCCUGUAUCAGUCUGCCUCCUGGGAUAUCGCAUGGACAGGUACAGGCAAACAGUUCCAAAUAAGGGAAUGCAUGCUGUGCGAGUGUAAUGCUCUGCUUUCCUUAGUGGCAUGUUUUCAGCAAGUUUGCCAUGUGCUACAGCUGGCCUAGGCAGGAUUUUGCAAAAGGAAAGAAGAAUAUUCACACUAAGGUCCCUGAAGCCACACUUCUGCAAACUAGCAGCUACCAAAAAGGUCAAAACAAGUAUUCUCAUUUUGACUGGACUCCCUGCUUCAGAAUUCUGUAUUUGGAGCACUUCAGGAGAUGCCCGAAGUUUCUACUACCAUACUUAAAGAGUCACCAAAGCAGGAAAUGUGAGCUCAUGCCAGCUUUCUUAGGGGGAAAAAGAAGAUCUUCAAACCAACAGUAUAAUUCUAGCAUCUCCAGAAAUGCUAAAGCCCUGACAAUUGUCUGAAGAAAAGUGUUGCAACACAGGCAUAAAUUCAACCUUUAUGAGACAUUAUACAGAAAGAAGACUCCAGAAGAGUAGAUGGCCUGUGUCUUCACUUCUCUGGAGCAGGCUGAUUUCAUUUGACUGCCGCAGUACACAGCAUCCAAUCCUGUGUCUCUGCCAAGACCUUUACUGCCCUGAGACAUAAUUAUUACUCUUGGGAAUUUUUUCAUCUAUAAUGUGAGGAAUGAAUCACAGACCAGCAGACAAGUCAUUUUUGGCAUGAACUUGAAUUGCAUAGCCGGACACAUCUGGCUCUGUAAAAUGCAGAGCAGUAUCAGUCUUCAUACCUGGCAGGAUCUAUUCUUGUUCUGAGCUGUUCCCAAAACUCUAUGUAUCAGGGUUUGUUUUGGAGAGCAAUUCAAAUAAGGACCUUGAAAGGAACUAACUUGCUUAGACUGCAAGCAGUUAAAGGACUAUAUAACCCAGAACUAAACUGUGAGAUAAGGCUUUUUGGUAAAGUAGAAUCACUGCUGGGUUGAGCACUCCAAGUACGCUAAAUUAUUUUUUGUGAGUUUCUUAACUUAACUAGUAUGGAACAGGUUGCCCAAGGAGGUUGUGAAUGCCCCAUCCCUGGAGGCAUUCAAGGCCAGGCUGGAUGUGGCUCUGGGCAGCCUGGGCUAGUGGUUGGUGACCCUGCACAUAGCAGGGGGCUUGGAACUAGAUGACCACUGUGGUCCUUUUCAACCCAGGUCAUUCUAUGAUUCUAUGAUUCUAUAAUCUUUAGAACAUCCAGCCUUCUUAGGUGCUGAUUAGUGGCUGUAGUGGUAUAAAAAUUUCUGUCAUAGGACCUGAAAGAAAGUGCAGGGGUCUUUGUCGGUGGACCCCAAAUUCUAUGACCAGACUUUUGUCAGCUGAGUUGAAACACAGAAAAUAUAAUUUAUUUUACUGUGUGUGGAAGCUACUGGUAGAAGCUUCUCUGAGAUGAAUUUUCUUGCUGUUCACAGCAUUUAGAUAACACGAUGGGGAAAAAAGAUGUUCCUAAUUUCUCUUCUUAAUUAUUAAUAAAAUGAGUGUUGUAGAGUUGCAUACUUUUCUCCACUGGCUGUAAAAGGUGCCUACAAAGAUUAGUUAACAGGGAGAUGUCUGUGUUGUGGCAUCUUUAUUUAAUCAAAUUAAUCCAACACAUUUUUUCACUUCCCAGUUCUUGCUUAAAGUUCGCAUACCUUUUGAUAUUCUAUGAAUAUAAGACUACUUCUUAAUAGCAUCUUGAGUUAAUUGGUUGAUGGACGGACACAGCUCUCUCUGGGUGCUGUAAGAAUGUAAAACUGCACAAUGGGUGAUGGAGAUCAGCUCAACUCUGCAGAUGAGCUGAGGAAACUGACAGUAGGGCAAAGCAUGGAGAGAGGGUUUUUUUCUCAUGGUAUUCCUAAAGCUCCACUAUAAAUAAAGACAUUUUAAAGUUUUUGUUUCAUUUUGUUUAUUUUUUCAAUUAAAAUGUGUAAAGAAAAUGAAGCCUUUGAUUCACUAGAAUCAUAUUAUAAAGGUGCUAUUAAAUACUUUGAUUUGGAAGAAAACCAGGGAGCUCCAAUAAAACACAUAGUGCCAUACCAAUGUGACUACUAAUGUCUCAUGUAUUUCACUGUGCACAUACUAAAUUUUCAGAUGGCCUUUUGAGCUGUCUGGGGCAGUUCUGC
rnacentral:lncRNA from 1 species